rnacentral:ncRNA from 1 species
GCCUCGGGGUGGCGAAAGCCUGAGAUGCUUCUCAUAAAGCGGACCCGACGAACCUGAUCCAGUUAAUACUGGCGUAGGGACAGGCUGAAAUA